GGGGCUGACCGGUUUUGACAGCGUGUCGAGGCGGUAUGUAAGCGUGCAGAGCGAUGAUGCCCACGCUCUUUAAACAGAGACAUCAGUAAAUUUAAAUGGCGAAAACAACUACGCUCUCGCUGCUUAAUCGAAGUACAGUAGAUUAGCUUUAUCCCUGCAACAGUUGCGGGGACGAGACAUCGCCCGAUUGUCCUUUUUCCGAGACUAAUCGAUCCGGCGGUGCAGGUAUAUCGGGAAUAGUACUGACGGCGCCCGGACGUCUGUGCGAAACUCUUAGGGAUAAGGGGUGGUUUGGUCGUCCCGGCCUGGCCAUCUUCGAAAACCAAUCGGAGACUACGCACGUAGAAAGCAUAUUGGUUCCACGUUUGGACGAGGGUUCGAAUCCCUCCAGCUCCACAU
rfam:Prevotella sp. CAG:873 genomic scaffold, scf175